rnacentral:lncRNA from 1 species
AAGACUCCUGCCCCUGCCACGAGAACACACCCUUUCCAGUUUGCUGGAGAAAUAUAAGAGAAGUCCAGUGAAAGAGAGCUGAGUUUCCCCAAUGAUGCCAUCAAGAUGAACUAACUACAGUUAACCAGCCAGCUGAUAGCAGAUGCAUGAGUGAGCCCAGCUGAGAGCAGGUUGUGCAAGCAUGGCACGUGCAUCUGUUUGGCUUGUGGUGAGGCCUCAGGAAGCUUACAGUCAUGGUGGAAGGCAAAGAGGGAGCCAGUACAUCACGUGAACUCGUAGAGUGAGAACUCAUUCACUACCAUGAAGACAACACCAAGCCAUUCCUGAGGU